UCGAUCCCAGGCCUUACUUUUUCUUGCUGUUGUCACUGUUCAUCCAUGCAUAAAAGACAUAGUGAGGCAGCAAAGAAAGAAAUGGGCGUACAGUUAAGAAAAAGUAAGGCCUGGUUUGGGAAAUCGCGUGAUCCACAAGGAUUUUUAUGAACGUGGGCGAUAUGUAGCCCACAAUCAUGACGUAAGAUAUUCUCCCACGCAUUCAGAGUUAAUAAGACUGUACUGAGCAUGAGACAACCACCAAGCUAGCUGUGCUGCAAGUCAGAUCAGAGAACCAGCGUGGCCAGCUCUGGUGGCAGUAGCUACCUGCUAUAUGAUAAUGAUGACUAAGCUAUUCUUGAUCUAUACUAUCAGUAGACUAUAUAAUAGCAUGUAGAAAGACACAAGAAAAGGUGAUAGUCUGAUAGAAUCUGAACACAUAUUACUAGUAGAUCAUCUAGCUAAGCCUAAGGUAUAGCUAGCUAUAGUGCUUGCAAACUUCCAGUUCCAAGUCCAUGUCCAGCUUGCUGCAGGCAAAGUUUUAGUUAGUCAUAGAUCUCUGCGUGGGCAGUCCAACAUCUCUAGCUCAGUAUGCCCACGCUCAUUUUCACCCUUCUACCACCCUUCUACCCUCACGCGACUUCCCGAUACAGGCUCUCCUUUUUCCUAACUCUACGUCUAUUUCUUUCUUUAUUCCUCCAAUUAAUAUCGUAUUUUAUCUCAUUGAACGAUUAAUACAGUAUUUUAUCUUAUUGAACGAUUGUGAUAAAGAACAGAAAAAGGAGAGCCUGUGUAGAGGCUAACAUCAUGCCACGUGGAUCAGAAACGAAAAUAAAGCAAGAAUGAAGAGACUACAGGAUACUGAUUGCAGGCUUAAAGAGUCUAUCUUCCUGUGUGUUGUCAGAUGAGGCUGUGUGGUGAGUAGCUGUAUCACAAGUCAGUGGAGAACCAGGAGAGGAGCAUCCUAGAGAAUGCUGUAGGUUCAUACCGUAAGAUCUCGAUUUAAAGCGACACUUUUUAAAAAAUAAUUACGAAGCCAGAGGUCGCAUCUUUUGGAGGUUAAAAAAUUAUAUUGAAGCCCUGGUGUCGCAUGUUUAGAGGGUUGCAUCUAAUUGGAGGUAACUUUACAGAGUCUACUUGCCUCGAUUUCAGGCCGCUUAAAAACACUGAUUUUCCAGUGGGCUACAAUCGAGGCUAGGGAGUGGCUACAUCUACCUCUAUUUAGAACGCGACAUUAAAAAAUAAUUAUCAACGUAGCUGUCGCUACUUUUAGAGGUCAGAAAAUUGCUGAAGCUCCUGGGUGUCGCAUAUUUGGAGGGUCGCCUUAAAUCGAGGUCUUACGGUAGUAUAAUUUUAUUAUCUAUAUAAUUAUAAUUAUUAUGGCCGUUCAACAAUCCCUAUAAUUACUCUAUACAUUUUGUCCAUCUUGAGAGCAGUGAAAACUCGUCUAAAGACAUUUGUAUUUGAGGGCACUACUCUAAACCUGCGGCCAUCGUGCUUUGUCUGCAUCACCAUGAACUAUGAACCCAGGUUAUGCUGGCUGCUCUGAACUACCAGACAAUCUAAAGGUGUUGUUUCGUACAGUGGCCAUGAUGGUGCCAGACUAUGCCAUGAUUGGAGAGAUCUCUCUACUCUUAUGGUUUUGUGGAUGCUCGUAAUCUGGCCAUCAAGAUUGUCAUGACCUAUGGACUGUGUUCAGAGCAACUCUCCAGCCAACUCCAUUCUGACUAUGGCAUGCGUGCAGUCGAGUCAGUGUUGGUGGCAGCCGGUCAUCUGAAACUGAAGUACCCUAACAAACAUGAAGAUGUGUUACUGCUCAGAUCCAGGCCUACCGUAUUACUAGAAUAUUUUGUCGGUAAAAAAUCUUUGCGAUCUAACUAUUCCGUUCUAUUCCCCUACCAAAUUUUGAAUUUAAACAUAUCAUUUGAUUCCUAGCUUUCAGAAAAUCCCCCAAAAUUUGAAAUUGCAACUAAAGUUAUGGCCGUUUAAAGAGCCCCAGUACCACUUGUACUUUCUAAGGUCAUGUUGUAGUGGAAUUUAAAGUGUUUAACAACCUCCCUCCUAUAUACAAUACCAUUGCUAUUCAUCUACCGUAGUAACCCCCCCCCACACACACACACACACACACACACACACACCCACACACACACACACACAC